rnacentral:rRNA from 1 species
GCAGGCUGCAACCCGCCUGCGUGAGGUUGGAAUCGCUAGUAAUCGCGGAUCAGCAUGCCGCGGUGAAUACGUUCCCGGGCCUUGUACACACCGCCCGUCACACCAUGAGAGUCGGGAACACCCGAAGUCCGUAGCCUAACAGCAAUGGGGGCGCGGCCGAAGGUGGGUUCGAUAAUUGGGGUGAAGUCGUAACAAGGUAGC